UCGAGAUCGAGCCUGGAUCCUGGUGAUGAUUAGAGCCAAGCGGUCAUCUCGCAUCUCUUCCAGCAGACCAAGCAACCCAGCUUUGAAGAACACCUGAGGAUCCUGUUGGGGAAUCCCUUUCUGCAGAUCCUGAUGCCUUCCAGCACGCCGUUACAGCGCAGCUGGUGCAUGACCAGAGGGUUCUCCAUGGCCCCAGGAGUCUUGGUCUCGUUGGGGAUGAUGCAGCGCACAAAGUGAGGAUGUCAGAAAUCUUCGAGGCUCAAAGGCUCGAGAUCAAAGUCUGUUUAUGGUGCCAGACAAGGGUCACCGAGAUCUGCAGCCUCCCCCAUUCGGACCAUCCGGAUUGGUGUGCUUCUGUCCGUCUUUCGAGUGGCUUCAGAUGUAUGAGAGUUACUUUGGAGACAGAAGGGACUACACCACAGGAGAUCCCAAAGGUCUGAGGUGGCCUUCUGAGAGUUUCACUCCUCAUCUAGCCCUUUCUGUGAUGAAGAAUGAUAAGAGAGUAGACAGUUAGAGAGGGAUGAGUGACAGAGGACCAGCAACACCCACCACAUGUCACACAAAACAAUUCACUCCAGGUAAAUCAUGUUCUGAAAUGUACAAAUACUAUAUUGUUGUUUUUUGCUUUAAAACAGACAUGAUCCACUCACUAAGACCAAUUGGCCUUGACAUAACUUUUUUUUUUUAAAUUGUAUGUACUGUAAAAUGAUUUGGAUGAUCAAAAGUGGUAUUGAUGCGAAGAACCACAAUGAAUCAAGAUGUAUGACAGUUUUUAUCACAGCUUAAUGAACUCGACUGGGUCUUUUCUAGCAGCUGAAUUAGAAAUGCAGGUAAGUUACAGUCUUACUGCAUGAAGGACAAUGAGAAACUAGAAAUAGUUUGUAACUGACACUUAACAUGAACUGAGUUAUACAUUAACACGUUGUCUGGAGUUAUAUGCAAUAAAAAAAUCAAAUAAAUAAUAAAUAAUAAGAAAAGAAUAUUUAUCCUGAUGUACGUAGUUGACCAGCUAACUGUGAGCUGUUCCUGUUUUGACUCAGGAGAUACAGUCUAUCAACACCGUCACCCUCAUUUCAAUAACUCAUGAUUUUGUUAUCAACUCUUUAAUCAAUGCAGUAAAUUUUCCAAAUCAAUUAAAUGUUGUGUUGUUGGCUUGAAUUUCAACUAACUUGUCAAACUGCAAUAACACAACUCACAAAUAUAUUAAAACUCCAAAUAAAA